rnacentral:tRNA from 1 species
GGAACUGUUAGCUCAGCCGGUUAGAGCGUGGUGCUGAUAACACUAAGGUUGUGGGUUUGAUCCCCAUUUGGUCCC